UGAGACUUUAAGUCUCCUGAAGGAACGUUGAAGACGACGACGUUGAUAGGCCGGGUGUGUAAGCGCAGCGAUGCGUUGAGCUAACCGGUACUAAUGAACCGUGAGGCUUAACCUU
rnacentral:rRNA from 5 species